ACAGAGGGGGCAAGCGUUAUUCGGAAUUAUUGGGCGUAAAGGGCGCGUAGGCGGCUUUGCAAGUGACGGGUGAAAUCCCUCGGCUUAACCGAGGAACUGCCUGUCAAACUGCAUGGCUUGAGACCAGGAGAGGUGAGUGGAAUUCCCAGUGUAGCGGUGAAAUGCGUAGAUAUUGGGAGGAACACCAGUGGCGAAGGCGGCUCACUGGGCUGACACUGACGCUCAUGCACGAAAGCGUGGGGAGCAAACAGGA
rnacentral:rRNA from 1 species